CGGACGGGUGAGUAACGCGUGAGAAUCUGCCCUUAGGAAGAGAAUAACAAUUGGAAACGGUUGCUAAUACUCUAUAUGCCGUGAGGUGAAAGGAUCUAUCCACCUUAGGAAGAGCUCGCGUCUGAUUAGCUAGUUGGUAAGGUAAUGGCUUACCAAGGCGACGAUCAGUAGCUGGUUUGAGAGGACGACCAGCCACACUGGGACUGAGACACGGCCCAGACUCCUACGGGAGGCAGCAGUGGGGAAUUUUCCGCAAUGGGCGAAAGCCUGACGGAGCAAUACCGCGUGAGGGAUGACGGCCUGUGGGUUGUAAACCUCUUUUCUCAAGGAAGAAGCUCUGACGGUACUUGAGGAAUAAGCAUCGGCUAACUCUGUGCCAGCAGCCGCGGUAAUACAGAGGAUGCAAGCGUUAUCCGGAAUCACUGGGCAUAAAGCGUCUGUAGGUUGCUUGCCAAGUCUGCUGUUAAAGACUAGGGCCUAACCCUGGGAAAGCAGUGGAAACUAGUAGGCUUGAGUGUGGUAGAGGUAGAGGGAAUUCCUGGUGUAGCGGUGAAAUGCGUAGAUAUUAGGAAGAACACCAAUGGCGAAAGCACUCUGCUGGGCCAUAACUGACACUGAGAGACGACAGCUAGGGGAGCAAAUGGGAUUAGAUACCCCAGUAGUC
rnacentral:rRNA from 1 species